AUGGCGUAUAGGGCUAAGAUGGAAUGUGUAGUAUCUGUUCUUAUCAGCUUAAUAUCUGAUAGGGCCCUGCGAUGGGCCUUUUGAUAUUAGUCAUAUUUUUGUAAGCAGGUGCCGGACGAGGCUUGCUUCUCCGGUGCCACGGGUUGCCCCGGUAUUGCACUGUAGCUGGGUGCGGCCCACAUUUC
rnacentral:snRNA from 1 species